UAGGGAAUCUUCGGCAAUGGACGGAAGUCUGACCGAGCAACGCCGCGUGAGUGAAGAAGGUUUUCGGAUCGUAAAGCUCUGUUGUAAGAGAAGAACGAGUGUGAGAGUGGAAAGUUCACACUGUGACGGUAUCUUACCAGAAAGGGACGGCUAACUACGUGCCAGCAGCCGCGGUAAUACGUAGGUCCCGAGCGUUGUCCGGAUUUAUUGGGCGUAAAGCGAGCGCAGGCGGUUAGAUAAGUCUGAAGUUAAAGGCUGUGGCUUAACCAUAGUACGCUUUGGAAACUGUUUAACUUGAGUGCAAGAGGGGAGAGUGGAAUUCCAUGUGUAGCGGUGAAAUGCGUAGAUAUAUGGAGGAACACCGGUGGCGAAAGCGGCUCUCUGGCUUGUAACUGACGCUGAGGCUCGAAAGCGUGGGGAGCAAACAGGAUUAGAUACCCUGGUAGUCCACGCCGUAAACGAUGAGUGCUAGGUGUUAGACCCUUUCCGGGGUUUAGUGCCGUAACUAACGCAUUAAGCACUCCGCCUGGGGAGUACGACCGCAAGGUUG
rnacentral:rRNA from 1 species